AUAUUUUGAAUUAAGUAUUCAUAAUAGUUUUCAGACGAUAUGUUAAAAAAUGAGUUUGUUAUGAAAAAGAACAGGACGAAAGAUUUUUUUACGAUCUCUCAAAUUGUCCCUCUUAACAUUGCACACAAGGUGGAUAUGGAUUUUAAAAGUGCCAUAAAACACUUAUUAUGAAUGAUCCUUCCGCAGGUUCACCUACGGAAA
rnacentral:misc_RNA from 1 species